rnacentral:lncRNA from 1 species
UGUGCUUCAUGUUCAGCUGGUGAAAGGGCUGAAGAAUAUCCUGUGCUCGCAGAUAUAAGACGGAAUGCGUUGAAGGUGAGUACGUCCCGUUCCCGUUUAGGCUUAACUGACGACGAGUGCGAUUUUUAAAGUGCGUGACGUCACUCCGAACUAACUCUUUAAAAGACGAGUGACUUUUCUUUUUAGAAUAGGUAUAAGAAUUAAUCACGCGUAUCGAAGUGGUACCCAACUCCGUCGAUAUCUGGAUUAAGUAAAAAGUCGAAGCGAAGAACAACACGACAGAAAGUAGCGCUACGAAGCAAAACGAAAGCACGUGGAGCGUGUCGCCUUCGCUUCGCGUCGCGUUUAACUAAGGACGGUACACAAAUAUAGACACACCAGCCAUAAAACAGAUUAAAAAGUGAACAUUUUAAUAAUACGCAAAAAUUUCAAUGAUCGACUGGUAUUAUUCGUGGAAUGAUAAACUAGUUCGAUCACACCACUUUAUUGAGAUAGCGGACGUGUCACGCUCUCUUCCACACCCCACCCAUUCGUGACCGGACCCAUCGUCGAAUGUCACGUGCCAUGAAAUAAUGGGCGGUUUUAACCAUUCGGUACCCCCCGUAACUAGGUAAGCGGACAACAGAUGGCACGAUGUAGACCUAUAUUCACGCAUAGUAUGUAAACAGUUACUGAAGUUUCAAAAGCGUUAUAAUAUCGUUGCAUCCAACUCUAUUAAGUUUAAUAAAUUAUACCGUGUUAUCUGUUGCUAUGUAUAAAGUGAAUAGUUUCAGUUUCAGUCAUAGUGAUGUUAUCAGAAAAUAGAAAAUUGUAAUACUUGGGUGACAGUUUCCGGAUUUCCUGUUGUUUAUAAAUACGGUACUGUACCGUGUGUUAUUUCGAAGGUGGAACACACGAAAGACUAAAUGAAAUGUUGAAUAAAGAAAUUUAUAUCGACAUACGUUAUAAAUGUGAUAUAUACUUGUAUUUUUUUUUCUCCAGUUUGGUGGAUGAUUUACAAAAUUUUGAAAAUACAGUAGUUUAUCGAAAUUCUGUUCAUUUUUGGGUAAAUUUUAAGUAAGUUUAUUAUUUCGAUUAUUCUUUUUCACUCAGAUUAUCCGAGUUUAAAUGCGAGCGCGUCGAAACAAGAGAGACGAGUAAACAUCGUCAUCACCUUGCCGGAAUGUAUUUUUAAACGAGACCUUGAAUGGUGGCCGGAUUUCUCGAUUAUAAAACUUUACUAAUUAACUUCUCAAUCUUGUGACUUGGCAACAGUCCACAGAAAUGGCUCGGUAGACGGUGAAACAAUUCUUGUUUCUUCUUUGGAGUUCGGAAUCAAUAGAGUGUUAUCCCGUUUAUUGUUGCGGAGGAUAAAUGGAGAAAAGAACAGACGGUAUAGGCCAGCAGGGAUAGUGUUGCUUUACCCGUUGGAUCUGAUGCAGACAGGAAAUGCAUUCUUCGUCAUAGAGAGAGAGAGGAGGCGAAAGAAACACGCAAUUCGCUAGAGUUUUUAUUGUGUCCCUGUCCCAUUGUUCGAUUCUAGGUCUUCGAACUCUGAUGUCGGUCGUCUUCUGAUAAAGACAGAUAUACACACACUCUUCGAUCAUUUUAUAUAUCUUUAAGGUUUCCAUUUAAUAUCGUAAUCGAAAUUAUGACGUCAGUGCCGCUUCUUUAUCUGUUAUAAGAGAAGAGCCUAUUUCCUCUCCACGGUAGCCCUGCCUGUUAUUGUUGUUCCAAAACUCGCGGAUAUUAAAAGCAACUCCUUCGACUGAUAUGAACGUAAGGAGAAUCUUCUCUGAGAGUAAAAGAAGCUGGCCGGGCGAUAAAGUAAAUAGAAUGAAUGUUUCCUGUCGGAAGUUGCAAAUUAUUAUAGCUUAAGAAAGUUGUCGUUGAUUACGUGAUCAAGUUCUAUUAACUUGCAUGCAGUUGUCAACGUCACCCUUCCUAUGGUCUUUGUCGAAUGAUGGGCUCGCAGUUUUGUCAGGAAACAUCUGUUCCAGUCAGAUGGAUCGCAACUGUCUCGUUUGCAUUUGUUUUUUUUUUUACACCCCUCUCUGUUCCGUAAUGCCCAUUUUCAAAUUUCGUGUUGUUCCAGUCUCUUUGUAUAAUUGGUCUUUAAUCAUUUAAUUUAAAAUUUAACCUUUUUUAAAG